rnacentral:rRNA from 1 species
UAGGGAAUCUUCGGCAAUGGGGGCAACCCUGACCGAGCAACGCCGCGUGAGUGAAGAAGGUUUUCGGAUCGUAAAGCUCUGUUGUAAGUCAAGAACGGGUGUGAGAGUGGAAAGUUCACACUGUGACGGUAGCUUACCAGAAAGGGACGGCUAACUACGUGCCAGCAGCCGCGGUAAUACGUAGGUCCCCGAGCGUUGUCCGGAUUUAUUGGGCGUAAAGCGAGC